rnacentral:rRNA from 1 species
UCGAGAAUCUUCGGCAAUGUGCGCAAGCGUGACCGAGCGACGCCGCGUGUGGGAUGAAGGCCUUCGGGUUGUAAACCACUGUCAGUUGGGAGGAAGGCUCCGUGAAGAGCGGAGCUUGACCCAUCUUCAGAGGAAGGCCGGGCUAAGUUCGUGCCAGCAGCCGCGGUAAGACGAACCGGCCAAACGUUAUUCGGAAUCAUUGGGCUUAAAGGGUGCGCAGGCGGUGCUGUAAGUCGGGUGUGAAAUCCCUCAGCUUAACUGAGGAACUGCGCCCGAUACUGCAGUGCUAGAGGGAGACAGAGGUGAGCGGAACUGAUGGUGGAGCGGUGAAAUGCGUUGAUAUCAUCAGGAACACCAGUGGCGAAAGCGGCUCGCUGGGUCUCUUCUGACGCUCAUGCACGAAAGCUAGGGUAGCGAACGGGAUUAGAUACCCCCGUAGUCC